GCGUCAGUAGUGCAGCGGGUUAGAGCACACGUUCCUGGAUCGAGUGAGAUAUGGGUUUUAGCCCCGCCUGACGCG